rnacentral:tmRNA from 1 species
GGGGGCGACUGGCUUCGACGGGGUCGGAGUGGUCGUACUUUGCAGGCCGAGGAUGGUUGAAUCCUCGUUAAUCACGCAACCAACACUCAGAAGUGCCGACGAUUACUCGUACGCACUGGCAGCCUAAUCCCCAGAGGAAAGAGGCUCCCGGCGACCCAAACCCGCGCCCAACCGGUUUGGUUAGCCGUCAUUUCGAUGGGCUGGCAUUACGUGCGUCGUAACGCGUAGUGUAAGAUUUUUUUACGGCUGGCUGCUUUGAAGUAGGGCGUGGGCUCCCUUAGCAGUAAGAAAUAAACCCGUCCUAAGCCUGUAGUAGGGUGCGAUGGCACGAGUUCGGACGUGGGUUCGAUUCCCACCGCCUCCACAA